rnacentral:rRNA from 1 species
AGAGUUUGAUCCUGGCUCAGAUUGAACGCUGGCGGCAUUGCCUUACACAUGCAAGUCGAACGGCAGCACGGGAGCAAUCCUGGUGGCGAGUGGCGAACGGGUGAGUAAUAUAUCGGAACGUGCCCAAUCGUGGGGGAAUAACGUAGCGAAAGUUACGCUAAUACCGCAUACGAUCUACGGAUGAAAGCGGGGGAUCGCAAGACCUCGCGCGAAUGGAGCGGCCGAUAUCAGAUUAGGUAGUUGGUGAGGUAAAGGCUCACCAAGCCGACGAUCUGUAGCUGGUCUGAGAGGACGACCAGCCACACUGGGACUGAGACACGGCCCAGACUCCUACGGGAGGCAGCAGUGGGGAAUUUUGGACAAUGGGCGCAAGCCUGAUCCAGCAAUGCCGCGUGCAGGAUGAAGGCCUUCGGGUUGUAAACUGCUUUUGUACGGAACGAAACGGCGAGCUCUAAUACAGUUUGCUAAUGACGGUACCGUAAGAAUAAGCACCGGCUAACUACGUGCCAGCAGCCGCGGUAAUACGUAGGGUGCGAGCGUUAAUCGGAAUUACUGGGCGUAAAGCGUGCGCAGGCGGUUCUAUAAGACAGGCGUGAAAUCCCCGGGCUCAACCU